GAAUUAUUGGAAUAAACAGUCCUAAAGGUCCUGAUGGACAAAGAGGAAGCACUGGCCCCAUCGGUAGAGAAGGUAUAAUAGGUCCAAGAGGUAGAACUGGACCAAGAGGUGAAAGGGGAUUUAGAGGUGAAACUGGUCCUCAAGGACCAAAAGGUCAACCAGGACUUCCAG